UAAAAAAUAUAUGCAAACAUAAAAAUUAGAAAAUAUACAAUCUUCCUUCAAAUUUUAACCCCUACCUUCGAAAUUUCACUUUAAUUUUCAUUAAUCUUCAAAUUAAAUACGACUAGAACUUUUUUUCCUUUAUUUUUUCUUCCCCCGUCUUUUUGUCUCUUCAUAUUUCUCUCUAAGGUAACCAUAAACACAGCAGUCACUAAUCCAGAAAUCGAUGUUGGACCGUCGUGCUGGCUCCCGUCGCUGGAGGUCGACGAAUUCCAACACUCUUUACCAGUCCCUUUUUGACCCUUUGAACAUGAAUAUGGAGUUGGAUUCUCCAAAAAUUGCCCCAAACUACACGAAUCUAUGCUUGAACAUUCGAACUUCUCCUUGCCCGAUAUUGAAAUUCGACUGCUGACUCAGUUCGAUUCCAAGGCUUUCACUUCUCUUGAAGUUUUUUUUCUUUUUCUUUUUGUGUUGUUGGGGUGUGUUUAUGUGUGUUGUUGUUGAGGGUGUGGUAAGAGAAGAACAAGUUCAAAGUUUUUA